rnacentral:lncRNA from 1 species
CCAGAAUUCCAUUUAUGAAAGACCACAAGCUCUAUAGACGCUAGAAUCACAGAGAUAUGAAGACAGCAUAGCAAAGCAGUGCUACCAAGUUCCAGUGAGAAAUGGAGCACUGGAUAUGGGCCCACUAAGGAGAGCUAUAGUCAGAUUCGUAAGGCAUCAACAGGAGUCGGCUUGGAGUCUGGAAGACCUUCCUUGAUUAUGCCCUGUCAACACAGUAGUACAUGUAAGUGGUUAAAUAAAAUUCAAUGGUAUAGAUAGAAGCUACUUUCAGUAUUAUGUGGGUUUACC